GUGCCAGCAGCCGCGGUAACACGUAGGGGGCGAGCGUUGUCCGGAAUCAUUGGGCGUAAAGAGCUCGUAGGCGGCUCGGUAAGUCGGGUGUGAAACCCCCAGGCUCAACCUGGGGACGCCACCCGAUACUGCUGUGGCUAGAGUCCAGUAGGGGAGUGUGGAAUUCCCGGUGUAGCGGUGAAAUGCGCAGAUAUCGGGAGGAACACCAGCGGCGAAGGCGGCACUCUGGGCUGGAACUGACGCUGAGGAGCGAAAGCGUGGGUAGCAAACAGGAUUAGAUACCCCCGUAGUCC
rnacentral:rRNA from 1 species